GGGGUUGUAAUUCAGAGGUAGAGAGUUCGCUUCGCAUGUGUAAAGCCCGGAGUUCAAUCCUCCCCAACUCCA
rnacentral:tRNA from 1 species